AUGGCUCUCUUAGUUACGCUGCGCCCCGGUCUGAGUCCCCACGUCCGCUCUUCUCCGCCCGCAACCCAAUAAGUUGGCUUUGCCAACACAACAUUAGGGCCGUCCCCUUCAUUCUAUGCCGACCCCGGCCCGGGGCUGGCUUUUUGGGAAGCCCGUUCCCACCGCGCUCACGGCCCGGCUGGCCUUCCAGCGGUAGUGGGAUGCUUAACGCCACUUCGCCAACUGGCAUUACCUGCGCUUUCGUCUCUCUCAGUGUGGUCAGCACUGGGUGUUUCCGAGCUGCGAGGCUUACACCCAUUCGCAUUAGUUCAUCCAAAGUUCCUUACCCUUAUGCACGAAUUAUUGAAUAA